rnacentral:rRNA from 1 species
CGUGGAGGUCCGAACCCACGAGCGUUGAAAAGCUCGGGGAUGACUUGUGGGUAGCGGUGAAAUUCCAAUCGAGCCCGGAGAUAGCUGGUUCUCCCCGAAAUAGCUUUAGGGCUAGCCUCAAGGUGAGAGAUACGGAGGUAGAGCACUGAAUGUCCUAGGGGGUAUUGCACCUACCGAAGACUAUCAAACUCCGAAUGCCGUCAUCUUAUACUUGGGAGUCAGACUGUGGGUGAUAAGAUUCAUAGUCGAAAGGGCAACAGCCCAGAUCGUCAGCUAAGGUCCCUAAAUGUAAGUUAAGUGGUAAAGGAUGUGGGAUUGCACAGACAACCAGGAUGUUGGCUUAGAAGCAGCCACUCAUUCAAAGAGUGCGUAAUAGCUCACUGGUCGAGUGAUCCUGCGCCGAAGAUUUCCGGGGCUAAAACUUACUACCGAAGCUACGGCAUCAGUAAUGAUGGGUAGGGGAGCUUCCCAUACGGGUUGAAGCAUGACCGUAAGGACAUGUGGACAGUAUGGGAGUGAGAAUGUUGGCAUGAGUAGCGAGAUGUGGGUGAGAAUCCCACAGGCCGUAAACCCAAGGUUUCCAGGGGAAGGUUCGUCCGCCCUGGGUUAGUCGGGACCUAAGCUGAGGCCGAAAGGCGUAGGUGAUGGACAACAGGUUGAUAUUCCUGUACUACCGAUAACCGUUUGAGAGAAGGGAUGACACAGUAGGAUAAGCUAAGCACACUGUUGGUUAUGUGUGCCCAAGCAUUGAGGCAGUCAAAGUAGGCAAAUCCGCUUUGAUAAUGCUGGGAUGUGAUGGGGAGCGAAAUUUAGUAGCGAAGU